AAGGAACCCGUCUGUCCCAACCACCACGACAACCCCCUUCCCCCCUACUCUUACCUGCAGCCCACGCAGGUCACAGCCAUUAGAUCCUUCCCCUGAAGCGCUGCUUCCCUCCUGCCGCACUCAGGGCUCCCUCCUGCCUUCCAUGCCCAGGACAGGGCCUCCCGGCCUCUCCAGGUCUCUGGAGCAGAGAGGUUGUGCCUUCCUCAUGCGGUCAGGCUCAGGCUGGGAAGGAGCGGCCCAGAGGCGGGGGGAGGCACGGGUGCGGGGCUGCCUCUUCCCCGGUAGUGGACGCUGAAGCCUGUCCACCUGAAUUGGAGGCGGGGCGGGGCAGUCGACUGACCGCCAGGCAGGGGAGCAGGGCGCGGGCUCAGAGGGAGGGAGUGGGAGGCCGAGGAAGGACAAGGUGCUUGUGGCGAUGAGUAUCAGAAGGCAGAGCGGAGCUGCUCAAGAGAGGCUGGCUCUGUGGAGCACAAACAUGCUCAUUUAAGAAGUGGAACGUGGGAGGCAGCAG
rnacentral:lncRNA from 1 species